rnacentral:misc_RNA from 1 species
UUGAUAUUAUUUUCUAAUUUUCUUCUAUUCGUCAACCCUUUUCAGCUGUGAGAUUAAUUUCAUUUUGAUCCAUCCAUUCUUGGAGCUUCAAGAUUUUAUUUUUCUCUUCAAUCUGUUUUGUUGUAUUCUGUUUUCCACUGCUCAAUUAAGAUCUUUCUGAAGCUGAUUGAUUGUAAGGUGUUGAUUAUUGUGUAAUUUUGGGGAUAUUAAGUUUCUUGGUAGUUGAACAGAUGAAUGUUGUAGGUAAAGUUAGUAGCUUUAUAACACAAGGUG